CCCACCCACAUAUAACAUUGGAUGUGACCCACGAUUGAGAUAUGUCGAAACAAGUAAAAGAGGCAAAGGAACAAAUUUGAGGAAAAAGAACUUUUGGAACAAUGA